GCGCUCACUUUGGCAGCACAGGUACUAAAAUUGAAACAAUGCAGAGAAGAUUCGCAUGGCCCCUGCACAAGGGUGAUGCACAGAUUAGUGAAAAGUUCCAUAUUUUU